GGUGAGGUGGCCGAGUUGGUUAUGGCGCCAGGUUAAGGUUACCUUAAUAUCUGUUUCCUGGUGGGGCAACCCGCGCGAGUUCGAGUCUCGUCCUCAUCA